GUGCAGGGCCGAGUUUCUGUCAUCCAAAUGGAAAACCUCCAUGUUAAAGGGCCGGUAUCAUGUAAAAUCGACUAUUUUUAAGCUUUAUAUUAUGUUAUAAUGUUAUCCCUUCAUCAAAAACAUUGCAAUAACUCUUUUAUGCAUGUUUGAAAAAACAUUUAAUCUCCCGUGGCAACUAUUCACGGGGGUGCCUAAAUGCUUGCGCUGACCAAGCUCUGUCUUUUCCACACAGCUCCUCCUCAGAGCUGCAGUUUCCGUCCGCAUUCACAGCUCCUUCAGACUAGCGGCAGCAGCAGUUAGCAAACACCUGGUGGAACUGAGCAUUUUCUGAUCUUAUCUUAGGAACUAGCCUUCAGCUCCUAAGAGCGAUGUUAAAGGCUUUAUGGGGAAACCGUUGUGCUGGAAAGAGCAGGAGUUUCUUAAAGAGACAGAAGCCCAAUUUCAAGGUGUUAUAUCACAAAGUCACAUGUCUUUUAAGUCUCAUUUGAUAUAUACUGAACAACUGACGGUAAUAUAGUUCUUCAUUGUGCUAAUUGGUAUAAUAUGUUUGGAAAACACAACACCGCCCCUUUAAAUGAAGUAAAAUGUGAACCUGUUUGUUUACAUCUUGACUCACAUCCUUUAAAUUUGGGUUUCGAGGACUCGUGUUUAUGCAUUAUGAAAUCCCCCCGCCUCUCCAGGAGAAGUACAGUAAUGCAGAGCGUCCGGAGCAGACAGAUCCGGGGCCGGGGCCCUGGGGCCGGGGCCCUGGGGCCGGGACCGUCAGUGGCAGAUCCUGAAUUAGUCACAGUGUUUUUUUUGUCUGCUCUGCGUUGGCUCAGCUUCGUUACAGGCCUAACAAAGGCUGCUUUCUUGCGGUGCUAGGGGAACUUCAUUCCCUUCCAGAGUUCAGUGACCCCUCGUUGCCAUAACGACCGGGGCCUGGAACUGUGUCUCUGUAAAUGGGUGACACUGAUGUCGUUUUGCAGUUUUCAAGUUCUAAAACUUACACAAAAUGCGGGACCGAUUCAGGUUCAGCUUUUAAUCUAGUCGCGUCUGAUUGGCGAAUUGCACCCAAAGGCUAGAAUGGAAUCCGCCCGACGCGGUUAGUGAUCGGGGAAGGCCGAGACGCCGACGCCAAGCACACGGAAAAGGUCGCUGCCUAAUCAAUUUUGUGAGUCAGAGCGUCAGCAGCACCUUGUCUCUCUCCAAGCCUCCACCCCAAACCGCAGACUGUCUUCGUGAUGUAGCAGUAGGUGGCCUGAGCUCUGCACACGCAAAUUUGCAGCGAAGGGACAAGUGAAGAUAACAGUGCAGAACAUCUGGGAGGGGCAGCGGAUUCGAUCGGAUCCUCCACUGAACACGGCUUUGCUUGUGCAGGAAGAGCUGAUCUCUGUGAGACCGGACGGAAGGACGAGGAUUUCACUGAGGUUUAAGAGAACAGUUUGGAUCUACACUGUAAAGAAUCACUGUAAAGACUACACAAUGAUUGUACAGCAAGACUGUAACAAAACUACAGUAAAACUGCAUUAGAAUUACAGUAAAAUCAGCAGAAGUACAGUAAACUAGUAACAGAAUUGCAGCAAAACUGUAAUAUAAUUCUGCAAAACUGUUACAGUAAAACUAACAAAAUCCCAGCAAAGAAAAUGUGCAAAAAAACCCCACAAUUUUAACUCCUCACAAUAAUUCUUCCACACAUGAAUCCCUCUAAUGGAAGCGCAGAGGCUUUUAAAAUUCGCCUUGAGCUUUAGUUUUUCUAAACGUUUCCUCUUAGGUUGUGUAUUUCAUUUCAAACCAGCUCUGCACACACUUGACAAACGUGGAAAGUCUGAGGUGUGUAGAUGUUUUAUCCGGCCUCCGCGUCAGAACACACACUCUCUGACUGCCGCUCUCUCGGUCGUCUGUUGAAG